rnacentral:rRNA from 1 species
UAGGGAAUCUUCGGCAAUGGGGGCAACCCUGACCGAGCAACGCCGCGUGAGUGAAGAAGGUUUUCGGAUCGUAAAGCUCUGUUGUAAGAGAAGAACGUGUGUGAGAGUGGAAAGUUCACACAGUGACGGUAACUUACCAGAAAGGGACGGCUAACUACGUGCCAGCAGCCGCGGUAAUACGUAGGUCCCGAGCGUUGUCCGGAUUUAUUGGGCGUAAAGCGAGCGCAGUCGGUUUAAUAAGUCUGAAGUUAAAGGCAGUGGCUUAACCAUUGUUCGCUUUGGAAACUGUUAAACUUGAGUGCAGAAGGGGAGAGUGGAAUUCCAUGUGUGGCGGUGAAAUGCGUAGAUAUAUGGAGGAACACCGGUGGCGAAAGCGGCUCUCUGGUCUGUAACUGACGCUGAGGCUCGAAAGCGUGGGGAGCAAACAGG